UCGUCCCCCCUCCCACCACCCCAUCUCGUCUGGGUUUGAAAUCAAUAAGAGCAGCACAAAGUCUAGGUCCCUGUCUCGGUGGCAGACGGAAGGAGAAGAAGGAUUGAUAUGUAUGAGAAUAUUAAUAUUGAACUCUUAAAGUUAAUGUGGCCCCGUUGCAACGCACGGGCGUUCUUCUAGUAUAUACAUAGGACAACACUAUUCUAAUCCUGGCAUUAGAAUAGUUAUUUGGAUCACAGCCCCACGACAUGUUCCUGAGAUCGGGCGAGAACAGAAAUAGCGCAAAGCGCCCCAAACCUUAUCUCCGUCCCUCCCGUCGCCAUCCUCCCCCUGCGACCUCCCCCAACCCGCCAACCACCUCCGGCCGCCGCCCACCCUGCUCCGACGCGCCCGCGGGGCCCUCCUCCUUUCGGGCGCGUGGGCGCACCGCCGGCCCCGCCACCUCCCGAUGCGCCGCCGCCCCGCCUUCUUCCGGUGCAAGGCCGCCGCCCCCACCUCCUCCUAGCACGCCGUCGCCCCCGCCUCCUUCCGGCGCAAGGCUGGCCCUUUCCUUCAGGGCGAGGUGGGUUUGGACUUCAACCCCUCCCGCUCCUCCCAUGCGCCGCCGCGCGUACCCACCCAGAUCCCCACUUGCUCCCGUGCGCCGCGGUUGGUCCCUACCAUGCACCCCGCCUACUCUCAUGCGCAGCCGCGCCCACCCGCGCUGAACCCUGCCUCCUCCCGAGUUGCUCGGCCCCUGCAGCAACUGCUGCCAGAUCACGCGUGAGGCCCGUCCGCGGUGUCGUCCUGCUCCUCCGGCUAGCGGGACAAGACUAUGUCCUGUCGUGAGUGUGAGAGCGGCACAGAGGAUGUCGCCGACGACGAUGCAACGGAGCCGGGCAAGUACAUGAUGUGGGCGCGCCGCUGGUGCCUUGUCUCACAGCCCUUGUUCGUCUCUGUGAUGCUACAAGAAGUUCGAUUCAGCAGCGCGAACCCGUUCAAAUGCAUGAACUAAAAAGUUCGAGCCGCCUCUCAUGGUCAUCCAUCAGUGAGAUGCCUGGAGGACUUCUCCGUCGACUUGCAGGUUCAGCAAUGGAUAAGGAAGCUGCUCUAGACCAUUUUCUCGUGUACAGGCUGCAUGAGGCGUACAGAUCCAACUCCCCCGCCCGGCAGCUAUGGCAUGUGGCUGCCUAGCACAUCAGCGCCCCCACAAGGUCCAUUUCUAGGUGAUUUUCUUGUCUGAAGUUCAGACGUACUUGCAGGCUCCACCAUGACGAACCGGCUCAUCCUAUUUUGGACAGUAAAUCAGACAGAAGAUUUUAGGCAGAAUGCAGUUAAGAGAUAAUGGGGAAACGAGGGUUCAAAGAUAUUUUUUAGUACAUGCAGAGAGCUUUUUCAGUGCACUGUAGCCAAAAAUCUGCUCUGAAGGCCAAACUACUGACGUGUGGCAUGCUAGCACUAGUAGAUCUUGGGAUAUCGGCACGCCAAGAAGAAGACGGAAAAGAAAAUGGUUAGUUGGAGAUCGCAAGUUCACUGCUCAAAAGGAUAAGAUCCCUGUUGGUUUUAUAUAGGGAACACCCAGCGGGGGUAAAAAGAGCAUCGCUUUGUCCAAGUCCACCAAUCAAAUUUUUGCUCUGUCUAAAGGUUUACGUCACUGUCUAAAAUUGUUGAUUGUUUCUGUAUGUUUGAGCAUCCGACUUAAGUUUCAUUUGUGAGGCGGUUUAAUUACAGUAAUUUUGUCCGUUCAGUAAUAUGUGUACAAGUUACUGUAUACAAAUAAAAAAGCUAAGAAAUUUACUCAA